rnacentral:rRNA from 1 species
UACAGAGGUCUCAAGCGUUGUUCGGAUUCAUUGGGCGUAAAGGGUGCGUAGGCGGCGCGGUAAGUCGGGUGUGAAAUCUCGGGGCUUAACUCCGAAACUGCAUUCGAUACUGGCGUGCUUGAGGACUGGAGAGGAGACUGGAAUUUACGGUGUAGCAGUGAAAUGCGUAGAUAUCGUAAGGAAGACCAGUGGCGAAGGCGGGUCUCUGGACAGUUCCUGACGCUGAGACACGAAGGCCAGGGGAGCAAACGGG